CUAAUGCAUGCAAGUCGAACGGGCGAAGGGACUUCGGUCCCCUAGCUAGUGGCAGACGGCUGAGUAACACGUAAAUGAUCUGCCCCGAAGUGAGGGACAACCCCGAGAAAUCGGGCCUAAUACCUCGUAAGUUCAUUGGAUCACGGUCCAGUGAAGAAAGGUUUCGGCCACUUUGGGAGGAGUUUGCGGCCUAUCAGGUAGUUGGUGGGGUAAUAGCCUACCAAGCCGAAGACGGGUAACCGGUGUGAGAGCACGAUCGGUCAGAGGGGGACUGAGACACGGCCCCCACUCCUACGGGAGGCAGCAGCAGGGAAUCUUGCACAAUGGACGAAAGUCUGAUGCAGCGACACCGCGUGAGGGAAGAAGGCCUUCGGGUUGUAAACCUCUUUUAUCAGGGAAGAGUAAGGACUGUACCUGACGAAUAAGAACCGGCUAACUACGUGCCAGCAGCCGCGGUAAUACGUAGGGUUCAAACGUUGUCCGGAAUUACUGGGCGUAAAGAGCGCGUAGGCGGUCUGUUAAGUCUCAUGUGAAAUCUCCCGGCUCAACUGGGAGGGGUCAUGGGAAACUGGCAGGCUUGAGGGUAGCAGAGGAAAGCGGAAUUCCCGGAGUAGUGGUGAAAUGCGUAGAUACCGGGAGGAACACCAGAGGCGAAGGCGGCUUUCUGGGCUAUUCCUGACGCUGAGGCGCGAAAGCGUGGGGAGCAAACCGGAUUAGAUACCCGGGUAGUCCACGCCCUAAACGAUGGAUACUAGAUAUGGGGGGUAUCGACCCCUCCCGUGUCGCAGCUAAC
rnacentral:rRNA from 1 species